rnacentral:rRNA from 1 species
UACGGAGGAUCCGAGCGUUAUCCGGAUUUAUUGGGUUUAAAGGGUGCGUAGGCGGUUUAUUAAGUCAGUGGUGAAAGUCAACAGCUUAACUGUUGAAUUGCCAUCGAUACUGGUAAACUUGAGUAUGGAUGAAGUGGGCGGAAUGAGUCAAGUAGCGGUGAAAUGCAUAGAUAUGACUCAGAACACCAAUUGCGAAGGCAGCUCACUAAGGCAUAACUGACGCUGAGGCACGAAAGCGUGGGGAUCAAACAGG